GACGAACCGUGCGAACGUUGUUCGGAAUCACUGGGCGUAAAGCGCACGUAGGCGGACUCUUAAGUCAGGGGUGAAAUCCUGGAGCUCAACUCCAGAACUGCCCUUGAUACUGGGAGCCUUGAGUUCGGGAGAGGUGAGUGGAACUGCGAGUGUAGAGGUGAAAUUCGUAGAUAUUCGCAAGAACACCAGUGGCGAAGGCGGCUCACUGGCCCGAUACUGACGCUGAGGUGCGAAAGCGUGGGGAGCAAACAGG
rnacentral:rRNA from 1 species